rnacentral:lncRNA from 1 species
AUGCGUAUAGGGACGAUGAGAGGGAAAUUAAAGCUAGCGACAGGGGCUGGGGGCUAUGGCGAAAUCGCCGAAAUAUAUAUACCAAAUGUACUUGUGAUCCACCAAGUUGGGCGAUCAUGGAACACCAAGGAGGCAAUUGUAUUCACGGGAAGGGAUCUGCCUGGCUAUAAAAACUGGACACCUUCCGCCCCACUUGAUCAAGGAAAUUGGCCGGAUGCAAAAGUAGCUAUCCCGCUGAAAAAGAUGGGAAAAAGGGUUUAGUGGCCCUACA